UACGUAGGGUGCAAGCGUUUAAUCGGAAUUACUGGGCGUAAAGCGUGCGCAGGCGGUGAUGUAAGACAGUUGUGAAAUCCCCGGGCUCAACCUGGGAACUGCAUCUGUGACUGCAUCGCUGGAGUACGGUAGAGGGGGAUGGAAUUCCGCGUGUAGCAGUGAAAUGCGUAGAUAUGCGGAGGAACACCGAUGGCGAAGGCAGACUCCCUGGACCUGUACUGACGCUCAUGCACGAAAGCGUGGGGAGCAAACAGG
rnacentral:rRNA from 1 species